GAUGAACGCUGGCGGCGUGCUUAACACAUGCAAGUCGAACGAAUAACCCAUCUUCGGAUGGUUAUAGAGUGGCGAACGGGUGAGUAACACGUGACCAACCUGCCUAUCACUUUGGGAUAACACGGAGAAAUCCGUGCUAAUACCAAAUAUUCCGGUUACCCUGCAUGGGGUUUCCGGGAAAGCUCCGGCGGUGAUAGAUGGGGUCGCGGCCUAUUAGAUAGUUGGUGAGGUAAUGGCUCACCAAGUCUGCGAUAGGUAGCCGGGUUGAGAGACUGAUCGGCCACAUUGGGACUGAGAUACGGCCCAGACUCCUACGGGAGGCAGCAGUGGGGAAUUUUGCGCAAUGGGGGAAACCCUGACGCAGCAACGCCGCGUGCGGGAUGACGGCCUUCGGGUUGUAAACCGCUUUCAGCAGGGAAGAAAUUGACUGUACCUGCAGAAGAAGCUCCGGCUAACUACGUG
rnacentral:rRNA from 1 species